GGAGCCGGCCGCCGAAGAGCGCCGGCCAAUAGCUGGCCGGAGAGCGAUGGGGGCGGGGCGAAUGCUGAUCGCUCCUUCUAGAGACCCCCGGCGGGAAACCCUUGCCAGAAGUCCCUCCGGAGUUCGCUGCGGGCGCACAGCGGUCCCCGGCUCACUUUCCUGUAAUAGGCUGGCUUAUGAACCCUUGCUUCCAGGGCCCCUACCAGGUCUCUCUGCAGCUAAAAAUCUUCACAGUCCAGCGCUUGUUUAAAAGAACCGCUCGAAGAAUCAUUCUUAACCGUGGCACCUGCCUCCGCUCUGCGCUGUCUUCCUACCAGGUGAGGAGACCGGCCAAGAAAGGUUUUGGAGGCCUUACACUCAACGAGAGAAAAUUGGAGACGGCCUGAACCCCUGGGGGGGGGGGGGGGGGGAAGCGCAGAUGAGGAAACUGGACCCCCGACUUGUCCAAAGACGAAGACCCGGUUUGAGGCUGGGGCCUUCCAAAUCACCGUCCAUGGCAUCUUCUGCCCUAGAACGCCACAUCCUCCUCACUCCAGCCUUCCUCUCCCACCCACCCCCCCACCUCUCUGGCUCCAUUUCGUCCUGAUCACGAGGUCCCCAGUGAGAAUGUGUAACACCGUCAACUUCAAUCCAGCGACCCUGCUCCCAGAUAUUUGCCUAUGGGAGAGAACACAUGUGCCCUCCUACAGGCUUGGAGAUGAAUUUCUCUGCAUCUUUCCUCCUAAUAAUAAAAAAACUGAAAGCAGGUGACGGUUGACAGACGACAACACGAACUGGUGUGGGUCCAUGCAAUGGAAUAUUGCUCAUCAAUAAAAAGGAGCAAAUUGCUGAGGAAUGUGACUACAUGGAUGAAUCUCACUGACGUGUUGAGUGAAAGAAGCCAGAUACGAGUAUGUACUGUAUGAUUCAGCUCAUAUGAAGUUCUAGAACAGGCUGAACUAGAAAUUAGAUCAGUGUUUGUUUGCAAGGACUGGAAACAGAGGGACCA